AAACCAUGGUGGGGGCACUAUCUUAACAAACUCUUGAAUCUGUCCUAUGCUUCAAAUAAUAAUUCUCCAUCGGCUUGAGCAAAGUUUGUGAUGCAAUUCCUCAUGU